AUUGAACGCUGGCGGCAGGCUUAACACAUGCAAGUCGGACGGUAACAGGGAGGAAGCUUGCUUUCUUUGCUGACGAGUGGCGGACGGGUGAGUAAUGCUUGGGAAUCUGUUUUAUGGAGGGGGAUAACUACGGGAAACUGUAGCUAAUACCGCGUAAUAUCGAGAGAUUAAAGUGUGGGACCGUAAGGCCACAUGCCAUAGAGUGAGCCCAAGUGGGAUUAGGUAGUUGGUGGGGUAAAGGCCUACCAAGCCGUCGAUCUCUAGCUGGUCUGAGAGGAUGACCAGCCACACUGGGACUGAGACACGGCCCAGACUCCUACGGGAGGCAGCAGUGGGGAAUAUUGCACAAUGGGCGCAAGCCUGAUGCAGCCAUGCCGCGUGAAUGAAGAAGGCCUUCGGGUUGUAAAGUUCUUUCGGUGGUGAGGAAGGUUGUAAUGUUAAUAGCAUUAUAAUUUGACGUUAGCCACAGAAGAAGCACCGGCUAACUCCGUGCCAGCAGCCGCGGUAAUACGGAGGGUGCGAGCGUUAAUCGGAAUAACUGGGCGUAAAGGGCACGCAGGCGGAUACUUAAGUGAGGUGUGAAAGCCCUGGGCUUAACCUAGGAAUUGCAUUUCACACUGGGUAUCUAGAGUAUUUUAGGGAGGGGUAGAAUUCCACGUGUAGCGGUGAAAUGCGUAGAGAUGUGGAGGAAUACCGAAGGCGAAGGCAGCCCCUUGGGGGAAUACUGACGCUCAUGUGCGAAAGCGUGGGGAGCAAACAGG
rnacentral:rRNA from 1 species